rnacentral:rRNA from 1 species
UACGUAGGGUGCGAGCGUUAAUCGGAAUUCUGGGCGUAAAGCGUGCGCAGGCGGCGCGUUAAGACAGGUGUGAAAGCCCCGAGCUUAACUUGGGAAUUGCGCUUGUGACUGGCGUGCUGGAGUGUGGCAGAGGGAGGUGGAAUUCCACGUGUAGCAGUGAAAUGCGUAGAGAUGUGGAGGAACACCGAUGGCGAAGGCAGCCUCCUGGGCCAGCACUGACGCUCAUGCACGAAAGCGUGGGGAGCAAACAGG